AAUUUACCUAAUUAAAACCAUUUUAAUAACCAAUGAACAUAUUAAGUAUUAUUUGGUAAUUGAUAAAAGUAGACAAGAAGUUGGAUUUAGUUCUGUAACAUUUUUGUGAUUUUAUUUUUAUAGGUUGGAAGUGCGACAGGAAGAAAAGUUUCAUCUCUGAAAACACAGGUUUGCAAUAAUAUAUUUUAUCUUUAAAUCAUAAUUGAGGUAUAGGCAAUUAAGUAUUUAGUCUGUCCAAAAGCUCAGUUUCUAUAUCACUGUCACAAUUCAUAAACUAUUGACAUUUCUUGGUGUCUGUCAUCUCUGAACUUGUUGAAAAUUCUCAUUUGAAACCACAGAAAGUUACAGAUAAGGUAAAUGGUGGGGUCUAAAUUGAAAUUGUUUUAAUUUUUCAUCCUUUGCCAAAAUGUAGUUUAAAUUAUACUUUCUUUAAUAAUACAUGCAUAAGAAAGAUUUUGGGUAUCAGGGCUUUUUUCAAGCCAUUGAUUACUCAGAAUUGCCCGACUUUAUAUACAUCAUACAUGAAAAAAACCCAAAAACAUGAACAUUUUGUGUCAAAGGAAGAGAACAAGACGAUAGAAUUAAAAAAAAAAAAAAAAAACACUCUUAUAAUGUGAUUUCUGAAAAUAAGAUAAAAAAGGAGUUCACAGAACUCGUGUUCCUGCUACAAAACAAUACAGGUAAAUAUCUAACACAUACCUCCACAAAAGUUACAUGAUCUGAGUUAUCUCCCCUUAUGUGACAUUGUUGAAAAAAACUGAAUCAUUCAAAAAAUAUUCUGUAUUUGCUAAAACAGUUUAAAAUAAGAAAACACAUAUAAUUUUCUUAUUUAGAUGAAAGGUCUUAAGGAAUCAUCUACCCUCAAAAUUACAAGAAUUUCUAAAUAGACCAAUGGUAUUUUGCUAUAUAACAAUCCAAUACAGCAGAAGACACCCAAUCUACCUUAAUCCUGCCUGAGUUUUCCUUUAAAUGUAUAAUUUAUUAAAGAAGGAGGUGUGAUAAGAGCUAUAUUUUUUAUUGCUUCUAAAUUUUCAAAAGGGAAAGUUCCUUAAUCUUUUAAAAAAUCUUGGUGGUUCUAUAUAUAUAUAUUGAUUUUAUAAAUUGUUAGUUUUGUGUCACUGUGAACAUGUUGAAAUUGUCAGAAUUGACCAUAAAUAUCCAUUUUGCACAAAUUGAAAAAAACUAGUUCUACUGGCCCAUAGCCAUACCCAACAAAUAUAAGCAAAUAAAUAUUUUAGGUCAAUGGAAUUUGCCUGACAGCACUUAAAGUUACCCUUUGGAUCAAAAGGUUGUGUAUCGCUAUGCUACGAGAAUGUUUUCUAUAGAUUAUUCCAAAAGUAAACCAAAGACAUGCAUAGUAAGGGAAAUCUGUGUUAUUUUGGGACUUUUAUAGCCGAAUAUUUCCGUACAAUGCAUAUUGUUGCUUACAUCCACUUCAUUUGAACUAGUUGUCUCAUUGGCAAUUAUACCACAUCUCACCUUAGUGACCUCUCAGUAAUUUUGUAUCAGUAUUAAUUUGAUAUUAGAAGAAAAAAAUAGAAUUUAAAGGUUUUAUGCUAAUAAAUCUGCUAAAAGUAAAACUUUUGGAAGUUUGAAAUAUAGAAAAAAAGUCUGACACAAAUAUGAAAAGAAGGAUGUUAGAACUUAGAACCACGUCCUAUCAUUUAAGGAAGUUUGUUCACCUCUAAAUGUCUUGGGUUUUUUUGCCAUUGGGUUGUUUUCUUAUUGUAUCUCUUUUUUUAUUCAAAUGUACAUUCUAAUUAUAGAAGGUGUGGUUAAUAUGGUCUGUGUAACUGGAAAAUGAUGUCAAACUAUAUAUAAACCAGAACUAUAAUUAAAUUACAACUGAUUUAAUUGUUUGUACGAAAAAUUGGAAACAUUUUAAGAAAUGCAGAUUUAUUUUCAGCAUUCAGACUUUUGAAAUUGAAAUUGAAAUUCUGGUUAAUUUUGGCAUAAAAUUACAACUAAAAAGAUAGUGAUUUCAUUAAAUUAUGCUGACAAGUGAAAUCUUUAAUUGAUCUUAAAGCUAGAUUGAUUUAAAGUAUAUUUUUUUCUUAAGAAAUUCUACUUUUAAAAUUUGCACUCUAGAAUCACCUAGUCAACUGUAAAAACAGCUGAUUAAGGUAAACAUUGGAAUAAAGUCAAAAGAAAAAUCCCUAAUUCUAUAUUCAAACUGUAAAAAACAAAGAAAAUCCAAGUCAUACUUGAGCUUGAUCCAAAAAUUUUACGUAAAAAUGAUUACAUUCCUCAAAUUUAGAAAUAAGUUCCCCUAAUGCAAAGCUUCAAGAUUUUUUAUUACGAGAGGGGAAAAAAGACUAGGCCAAGAGAAAAAAUGGAAUAUAAUUGAAAAUUCCACAGACAAUUGGAUAAUUUGGCAAUUUGCAUUAUUUUAAGGGCAAUUUAAUAGCAUAUCAAUCAUUGUUUCAGAUCUUAAAUGUAUUUACUUUUUCAAAAUUUUAUAUUACUUAACUAAUUUCAAUAAAUUUAGAAAAUGAAAAGAAUACAAAUUCUAAUUUUGCUUAGCCUGCAGGACAAAUUCCUGUAGGUCUUCGUGAUGAAAUUCUUUAACCUAAUAUGAUAAAUCUUUAAAGUGGAUUAUCAGCUUAGACCAUAUUAAACAAAUUCUUUGGUCAAUCUUGAACAAAAGUCUCAGCCAAGUGUUGUGUAAACAAAUGAAUGUGGAUUAAAAAGAGGCACACGGUCAUUUCAACUUUUUAAUGUGCAGGGUUGGACUUUCGAUAAUCCAGAUUAAAAAGUGGACCACACGCAUGUCUUAAAAGGAUGCAUUCUUUUCUUUUAUUAUUAACUGGUGCAAAGUUUGAAUUUAUUAUUAGAUCUAUGCUGCAAUAAGAUAAACUAAAUCAUACAUGUAAGAAGGGUCAUAACCUGUGUCACAUGAUAUUUCAUUGGUUUCUUGUAAUUUCAUGCGACUUUUCGAGAAAUUUGUUCAGAAAAUGGUUUUCUUUUUUAGAGCAGUAACAGAUUUUGUGGAAUGAAUGAAGAAAAAGAACUCAGACUUUAACAGAGAUAUAGGUGUGUAAUAAAUGUAUUUAGAGACUUAUAAGUUACUAAGGUGCAAAUCAUUUUAUAAAUAUUUAAACAGAACUUUGUUUUUAGUUACGGUAGGAGUGCAAUUUCAAAGCAGAGCAUGCAUACCUAUAUCUAUAAUUGGAAAAAAAAGAAGAAAAAGAAAAUCCAUUAAUUGAGUAUUUACAAAAUAAACUGCAAGUAUUUUUUUCAUAUUUUCAAUUUUAAAAAUUCUUUUAUACAGAGUCAAAGAUAUAUUUAAUGGUUUGUGCCUUAGUAUGUUUCUUUUACAUGAAUUUAAGUGAUAAUACGAAGUCCUAAUUAUUAUAACCCCAACUUACUGAUCCCUUUGCAUAUAGUUUCCUGGACAACAUUCUUAACUAAAGCCUUGGGUUUUGUCAAAAACAAAGUUGUUGGGUUUGGAAAUCUUAUUUGUCACUCAGUAAAUGAAUCAUAACCCAACUUUUAGAAAGUUUAGUAUUUCAAUUUUGAGAAUCCCUUCUAUUUUAUUUUUUUAUGAUGGUGAUUAAUUAAGGUUUCCUUUGCCCAAGAUUGGUUAUUCAUUUGCCUUGAUAUUGAGUUAAAAUAGGGAUAAGAAUUUGUCAAACCUUAACACUCUUCCACUGUUCUUUUUUUUAAUAACAAAGAAUUUUCUACUUGACAAUUUCGCAAAAGAAAGUAAAGAGAGAUUACUUACGGAAUUUCUAAAUUUGACAAUUAAAAUUAUGUUUUUUAAAUUUGUUUAAUUUGUUUACAAUAGCUAAGAAACUACUUAUCAGCAAUAUUAAGUCUGCUGAGUCAGCCAAAUAUUAUAAGAGUCCUGGUUUAUCAGUAAUAAUGGCUUAAUGCAAAGAUUCUUUAAAAUUAUGCAAAAAUAAUUCUAUUUGUUUGAGGGAUAAGGCCUAAAGGGAAUUGAUCAGGACCAAAGAACUUAAACCAUUAUUCAAACAUGAUUUGGUCGAAAUAUUUGUGUAACAAACAAUCAGACUUGCCGUUAUAAGCAAUGGGUAAGGGUAUUAGCUACAUAAUUGUAUAUAUUGCUUAAUAAGCAAAUAUUUUAUGGUUUUUAAAAAUGAUAGCCGCAUAAUUUUUAUUGAAAUACCUGCCCAAUGAACAAAGAACGGAAUUUGAGUUCAUUAUAUCUUCAUUUACAUUUUGGUUAUAGUUAGAACUAUAAAUUGACCCAGUUUAAAAGGUCAGUGGUAUGGAAAAGGGCACAUCAAUCCCAUCCCAUUAUCUAUGGCUCUUUAAAACAAUUCAUCACACGUUGGCUUUGUAAAGGCUUGGUAUUUAAGGACACAAUUGAAAAAUUCUUUUAUAAUUCAGGCACUAAUUUACAUUGUUGUGUCUUCAUGGUGAUGAAACAUACUUAAAAUUCUGUGCUAUUUAGAAACCUUUUAAUAAGACGUCACUGUGAUUACCCCUUCAAAACUAUGCUAAUCACAGGAAAAGAUAUUUCGUUCGUUGUCCGUUUACCAACUCUACCUGUGUAAGUACAUGUAAAACUUUUUUUACUGUGAGAUUGUCAUAAACUUGACAUAUUCAUAUGAUUUGUUGUCAUUUAUUUAGGUCAUGUCAACUCCUUCAAAGAAAGUAAAAAGUCUUAUUGCAUAUUUAUAAAGCUUUUUAUAAUGGAAGCAAAAACAUUUUAUAUUUGCAUAAAGUAUAAUUUAACUUUCUAGUAAUGCUGUAUUUUCUUUUUCAGUUAUUUUUUGUUAUACAAUUCAAUUUUUCAUUUCAAUCUUUUUAUGGACUUUUGCUAAAAUAUGCUUAGGAAAUAAUAUCUAUAGGGGGGUCGAUCUAUAGUUAGUAAUUAAGGUGGCUGUUUGGAAAUACAUUUAAAAUUUUAAGUUGUUUGAAAAUGAAAUCUUAGUUUGUAUCAUAUUAAAAAGUUUACUUUCUAAACAGCAACAGGUUAAGAAGAAGAAAUAUAAUCUAUGUGUUGUAAUUUAUGAUCUUUACUCAAAAAUACAAUGCAACUUUAAAAUGGUGUCGGCAUACACAUGUUGCAACAAAGGACAUGUACCAUUCAUACAAUUUUAAGAUUACAAACAGUGUCACUUCUCCAAUUCUAAAGGAAUUUUGUUAAGGAAUUUUGUAACUUAAAUCUUGUAUAGAAUUUAGCCUAAUUUAUAAGUUGCAAUGUACCUAUCAUGUUAGUGAUACUCAGUACAAGCACAGACAUCACUUACAGUUAAAAUACACUAAUCCCAUUAAGUCUUUUCAAAUUCUUAAGAAUUUUAUAUGUAGGGAGUACUAUUUCAUUUUCAGAAGUCGUUAAAAACCUAAAUAUUUUAUUAUCCCUGAAAAUAAAUAAAAAACAAUGCAGUGAGGUCAAUCAAAAACAUUAUACGACUGCAAAUUUACAUAUCUUUAUUUAUAUCUACCCAUUCCAUCCCUUGCUUUUGAAAUGAAUUUAUAAAAUUUUCUUGAAAUCUAAUUAAAAAAUUGCAGAGACAUAUUUUAUUAUGUUAGAUCUCUUGGUGACCAUUUGUAGCUCCUCUGUCUUUUCCCCUUAUUUCUUCAGUCUCUGUGAGGAGAAUAAUAAGUAAAUGUCAGUAAAAAAACUACACACAAACAUGAAUAUCAGAAAUGGAUAUUAAUAGCACUUUAAACUUUGUCUGACCUGAUUACUGCACAUAUGCACCCAGUGAGGUGAUGCUGCACAAUUUUGUAUGCUAAGGUGCAAAAGAUAUGUCAAGUAUGUAGCCCUGCAACAACAAUUAUUUUCAUUCACUGAAUUCUUUUUGGGUGUGUCUGUCUACAUUUCAACAAAAUCUUUGAAAUAUAAUUAAUAUUUGUUGCUUUUAUUUAUAAUGGUAUAAUUAUGGCUAAAUAAAUGUUUAGCUUUAUAAUUCCAUACUAAAACUUCAGCUAGUUUUAUGCAUCUAUUAGGUUCAACUGUUUUUGCUUCAGUAUCAUUUAUUUUAAAAGACGUCUCUUCCUAUUGAAUACAAAAAUGAAUUAACUAAUGUGUUCCCCAAGCCCCAUGUGAAAAUGUGCAAAAGUGAAAUGUAUAUUGAUUUGUGAGAUUUAAAGUUGAAUGAAGUUUAAGAUAGAACUUUUCAUGUAAGAAAUUCUCAAAGGUUCUGGCAAUAGAAAGUGUAGUUGAACAUUUUUUGAUAGCAUCAUGUGUAUGCAACAUUUCCAGAAAUCAUUAUAAUUAGUGUCUCACUUUAGUUCAUUGUGUCAAUAGUUCAGCCAUGGCAAUCAUAAAUGUACAAAAAGAUUUCAGAAUUUACAGUACAUGCAUAGUAUUAAAGAUGCUUGUGUUCUUACUUUGGCAGUGUAAAAUUUUAGUUCUAUUUUAUAUGAUUUCUAAAAACUUUAUUCAAUUCAUUCAUAACUGAAUAGUAAAUCCUUUUUUUUUGCUACCUGAUGUUAGCUUAUAAAAUAUCUAUGCAAAGUAAAAAAAAUUAUAACAGUUAAAAAUACUCUAUUUGCACUUAAUUUUUGAAGUCUCAACUUUUCUCAAAUUCAUUGAUUAUAUUCUGUUGACUGAAAAACGGAAAUCAGUGAAUAGAAUAUUUAGAGCUUAAAGUUAAUCUUUGACCUUUAAUGGAUUUUUUUUGGUAAACCACAAGAACCUGACAAUAAGUGUUUUUUGUCGGCAGAGUUUGGAGGGAUCCUAUUGAUGAGCAAGGAAGCGAGUUAAAUCUGACUUACAAUCUUACCUACAAUCUCUCACGAUUAUUAAGUAGAUAAACGCUGUCAUGUGAUUAAAUUUUUGAAACAUGAAUGAAAAAAUAUAAUAUAUUUUCAAAUUUUAUGAAUGGAAAUGAAACUUAUUUACAUAAAUUUUCAUUCAUAAGUUUCAAAGUUUAUUGACAUCGAUUCAGUUAAUUGCCGACUUAUUUUCCUAAAAAAAGAAAGUAAACUUUGUUUGGAAAUACAAAAAGCUUGUAUAAUCUAGUCAAAUAUGUUAUAAUUAUUCAAAUACAAUUCAAACUUUUUUCAAUAUAUUUUUUUUUAGCGGUUUAAAUGUAGUUUUAUUUGAGAGAAAACAAAGAAGUAUAUGUAGUACUUUGUAUUUUAGAAGAAAAGUAGUUCAGGUUUAAUUUAUACAAAAUAGAUGUAAUAAAUUUACAUAUAACAAACAAAAAACAUUUUUCCUGUCUUCAACAAAAAGUAGAGUAAUUAAUAUUCAGAAUAAUACAUAUAUCACAAACUUCUUUCUUAUUUUAAAUCAUAUUCUAUUAUAACAUUUCUUUUUUUUGUACACCUAAAGGUAUUUUUUUAAGUUUUGCCAGCCAUGAAAUAAAAUUUAAAUCUCGUCUGCUAUUAAGCUGUUUUAAAAUUUAAAUAUAUUUUCUAAACUCAUUCAUCUUCUCUUGUUGAUAAAAUUGAGUUGAUGUUUUGUAUAAAAGGAAUGUAAAGUAUUUGUGUCAGUGGAACAUGACAUGAGAACAGGUAAAUGUAGGAGUUUAGACGGGAAUAUCCAGGGAAAGUUACUUGGUUCUUAAAGCGAGCACGGUACAGGUAAUACAAAUGCAGGUAUUUAAAUUAUUUUCUUUUUUUCUAAAUAUAUUACAUUUUCCAAAAAAUAAUUGUUCCUAAGAAUUUAUUUUGAAUAAUUUGAAAAUAUCAAAAAUGAAAAAAAUGUACUUGCAUGGUGUGAAAUAAAUGUUUCCCCCCAUUUUUUGCAUAAAUUGUAAUAUGAGGAGUUAUUUCCCCUAAUGGGAAAUUUAUACUGUAUGCAUUUAGCUGUUGCUAAAUUCUUUUUUGCAUUAUUUAGUUAUUGAAUUUUGCAUCUUAAAGUCAUCCAUUCUUGACAAAUAUAUUUAUGUUUUAUAAUUGAUUUUAGUAUAAAAUUUAUGAAUAGCACUGAAAAUUUCAAUUUAUGAAAAAAUAAUGUUGCAAUUAAAAUAGUUUUUAUCUCUAUUUUAAUGUAACACUAAAUUAAGGAAAAAUUGAAAAAAAAAUUUAAGAUUAAUAAUGUGUGAAAGACAUGUAUUUAAGAGAGGUGUUACUUAUAAAUAAUAAUGCAUUGGAUGUUUUUAUUAUAUAAUAUGCAGAUCAACAGUAUUCAAUUGUAAAAAAUGUGAAUAUGAGAUUGCAAUAGGUAUAUAUAUUCUGUUUAGAAACCAAGUACUGUAUAUGUUAAGGUCUGAACGAGGUCUAUAUAUAUCUAUGUGUGUGUGAGAAAAAGAAAAAGUGUGAUUUGAUAUGUGAAGAUCAAAAGUAGGUGACAAGUGGGUGUAAACUGACCUGUUCCCAACAUGUUUAUUCUGGGAGUAUAAAACAUCUAAUGAUUCAUUACCUACAUGACAAGUAAAAGGCAACAUCUAUCAACUCAAUGUGAAAGGACAUAUUUCUCAGGUUUCUAGGUAAAAAUAUACACCUUGGGAAUAUAUGAAUAAUCUUAAUGAAAGGCAAAUAUAAAAUUCAGAAAUUAUAUUAAUGGGUGAGUGGUAUGGAAAUUCUAAAUUAGGAUUUUAAUAUAAAUACCUACCAUUUAUUUGACUGAUAUAAGUCCCAGUGGAUUUCUUUAGUUGGUCUCCUUGACUGAUAUAAGUCCCAGUGGAUUUCUUUAGUUGGUCUCCUUGACUGAUAUAAGUCCCAGUGGAUUUCUUUAGUUGGUCUCCUUGACUGAUUUAAGAAGAAAGACAUUUUUUUCUGAAUAUACCAUGUGACAACAAUCUUAUUCAAAAUCUGAAAUCUUUAAAUUUCUGUAUAUUUAAGCCGAACUGAAAUAUGGAAUUUUACCAGUUAUGUAUUAGAUUUGAUAAAGAGUUACUAGUAAACUGCUCACAAAGUCUCUUUUAAUCUAGAUAUAUAUUUGAUGUUUACCAUUCUGAAAUCAAAAGAAAUGGCCCCCAUUGAAUGAACAAGAAUUGGAUUAUUGAAUUAAUUCAUUCAUAAAACUAUCACAAGUCUAUAACACUACUGGUGGACUAUUAGUCACCAUGGUUACCAUACACACAAUAGCCAAUGUUUUGGUAUGGUUUAAUUUUGUUAGACUAUAAUAUAAGGUGUAGAAAUAGUAGAGUAGCAUCUUCCAAUGUGACCUUCAUUCUUUUUUUGGCUGUUUUAUUUAGUAAGAUUGAUAAUUGAUGUUCACAAAUAUUUUAUAUAUUUUACUUCCAAAAAUUUUGGUUUUAAGAAUAACUGGCGGAAGAUAUUCAAAGUUAUGGAUCUUAGUUUUUCAAAAGCAAGCAAGGGGCCUCUGGUUCAACUCCUGAUGUUCCAGCAGCAUUUGGCUAACAGUGUAUCAUUAAUUGAUUUACUGAAAAGCUAAAUUCAAAAUGAUUACCAGAAGUAGAAAACAGUGGAAAUACUGUGAUGCAAAAAGUUAUGUUUAAGAAUGCUUGUUUUAGAACCAUUCUUAGUCUAUAAUUUAAUAUGUUUGAACUUUUAACUUCUGUUCAAGAUUUUUAUACAACACAGGAUAUAGUUCAUUAUAGACAAAUUACAAUGUAUAUAUAAGUAAUAUAGGUCAGACUUUAUGUCACUUUUUUGAAGAGAAAUUACCACAGAACAACCUGUUAAAAUAGUUUUGGUUUCAGAUGGAAAUCUAAUUUAACCAGAUCAAUGAAGCUGUACUUAUACACAUAAACUUAAUGUUCCUAACAAUAAUUAUUAUUUAUUUGAGGCGUUUAGCUAAGAAUGCAGAUUAUGCUAUGUUUUUUUCCAACAUGAGUUUUUAUUAAGGAUAAUUGUAGUGUUUGAUGAGUUUUGUUCCCACAUGUAUUGAAUGGCUCGUAGACAGCCCUACUUCCGGCUUCUGUGCAGUAAUGAGGCAUUACCCUAACAUCUAUUACUGAUAAAAGAUAUUUUUUGUUCAAUAACUAAUGCAGAUUUUUGUUUAAGAACAGAUAUAUGUAUUUCAGGUACAAACCACUGUGCAAUGAAUUUACAGACAGGCGUUGGCUAAAGAUAUCAAAAAGGUAUUCAUUAGUUAUAAGGAAAAAAAUCUUCAAAGAUAAUUUUUUCUAUUGUCUUUAGAAACUUUUCAGAGCCUGAUAUUUACACAUUGUUGAAUUUUGUACAUUAGUAAAGUUUUUCUUUAUAAACUUGGAUAUAUUUCAAACACUUUGGAAUCUAUCAGCAAUAAGUUUUUUUUGAUACAGAAUAAUGGCAACAUGUAGAAUCUUAUAAUUUAUAUGCAUUACAUCUGUUGAUCUAUUAAUUCUAUUAAACAGAUCUUUUACUCAGUUGUAUGGCUUUUUUUGUGUAAUUUUAUUGUCAUCUUAUUUAUUUUUCGUUUUUUGCCCAUCUGAGCUAGAGUUCUCAUCGGAUGUUACAUAAAAAAAACGCUGAAUGACAGUAUUUCAACCACACAAUUUUUAGUUAAGAUUUGUCACAUUUAGUAUCAUAAUGUUUUUAAUCUAUUCAUUGAAAUAUGUGUGACAAGGUUUUGAUAAAAAGUUAUUUAUACUGGAAUUUUGCCAUUUCGUUGGUCAAUAAACUCAAUAUUAUUUAUGAUACCCUAUGAUGGUAUACUGAUAGUUGGGUGAUGGCCAGAAUAGGUUUCUCUCAACUGAUGUGUCCAAAAUCAGGGUCAAAAAUAUAACUUUGUUCAAGUUGGUACAUUUGAUAGUUGUUCAAGUACUUAUUUAUACAGUUGCUAAAAGGUAUAAUAAAUUAAAUCAUUAAUUAUCUUUUUACAGCUUAGUUGGCUAAUUUUGUGUCAUCUGUUUUUUGAAACAUUCAACUGAAAAUUAGGAGAUGACAAUUUUUCAUUGGAGAAUUUGCAGGCAUCAAUUGGUGAUCUGAUGGUUGCAGAUUUUGUUACAAUCCUCAAAUAAAAAAAAAAUGGUGCCCUCAAAUCUUUUAAUGCAUUACUGUUAUUUCAAUUCUAAUGCAAUCGUAAAAACACCACUUAAUCAUUAAUUUUGAAACCAGUCACACUGUGUCUUGACUUGUGCACAAUUCGAGCCCACACAUAGGCGGAUACAGGGGGCCCUGGGGGCCCAGGCCUCUUUUCAUGGGAAAAAUUUGGUUGAUUAUAUAGGGAAUCAUUGAAGCAUGACUGGAGCGGGCCCCCCGUAGGUCAGUCAGCGGGCGCCCUUGGAAAAGUUCUGGAUCCGCCACUGCCACAACUAUAAGGCAAAAUCUUUUGUUUAGUCUCCAUAUAGAUGAGCUACAGAUACUUUUAGCUGCUUGAAUAAAAAAGUUGUCCUUAGAUCAGACAAAUCGCCUUACAUAGACGUAUUAAAAUCAUUAAGUGGAUGUAAUAUCUUGUAUAGCCAUGUUAGUUGUUUCAAAGAUAAAAGGGAAGGGAAUGAACGCUUUAUGUGCAAAAGCCUUGAAAAUAUAUUGUGAAUUCAGACAUUGCUGUGUGCAUUCAAUAUUGGAAUUGUUGCUAAAGAAUUAAAUUGUAAAGUCAGUUAAUGAAAUAAGGAAAUGUUGCAUACAAAUAAUCAUGAUCAGAAUUUAAAAUGUAAGUUCCAAACUAAUCCUAUCAUAUUUGGUUACAAAACAUUCUUUAGUAGUACAGGAUGAAACCUUUUUUUUACACCAGAGUACAGAUGUACUUCAUCAUUGUAAGUCAUAAAUAAUUUCUCAGGGUAUUGACCUCCAUUAAUAUACAAAAUGUAUACAUUCUCAGCUCAAAGGAAAUCCAAAUUGUUUACACAAUGUGAGGAGAAGCAUUGUUUUAAUUGAAGCAGAUUGGUCAUAUAUAUCAUUGUCAGAUAUAUUGUGGGGGUUGCUGUCAGUUGCACAUUAUUCAUAAUUUGUGGAAUCAAAAACGUUUUUUGUUCAGUAGGGGAUCCAGAAGGGAGGUUCCAAGGGUUUGACCUCCCCCCCCCCUUUUGUGGUCGAUCAAUGCAUUUGAAUGAGGACAUAUGGUUGGGAACCCCCGUUUUGAAUAUGACAGGUCCCGCGCCUGUUCAAUAAGCAGUACAAUGAUGUUAUUAGAAUUAUUUGGCCAUAAAUUUCUGUAUUUGGGGAUAAUAAGCCUACUGAACUGAUUUCUUGUAGACUAAUAUAAAAAUUCAGAGAUGGAAAAUGAUUGCAAGAGACAACCAUCGAACAGAGACCUAAUGGCCUAGAUUUAAGCAACUUUAGGUCACUAGUCUUCAACAAUGAGAAACAGUAAUUACUCGAUGCAGAAUUAAGUGCAUUUGAAAGUUUAUAUAUAUAUAUAUAUAUUUACUACAACAAUUCAAAAUGCAUGUUUCCCAUUUUAUGUAAAAGUCUGUUUUAGAUGUAUUAAAUAAACUACUUCAAUUGUGUUUUAUACUUUUUUGUAAAUAAAGCACUAUGUUACAUUAAAUACUAUUGAUUUUUAUAUGUGAUAUUUCAUUCAUGAUAAUGUGUGAAUGAAAUACUUAAUGAAUAUUAAUAGUUGUAUCGUGACUCACCUACUAAUUUAUUAAUGACCAGUAAUAAUGAUGAUGCAGUUAAGAGUAAUUAUUUCAUUUUUUUUUUUUUUACAUGUAUCACUUGAAAGUGUCAAGUGAAGUGAAUACUUGCUGUUAUUCAUUGUUAAUGGAAUGUUUCACCAUCCUUUUCAAAAUACAAGAAAUAUACAAUUUCCAUAGAGGCAAAUUAAAAAAUUGCAUUGAGUGGUUUCUUUCUGAGUUAAUGUAUUGGUUUCAGUAAUUCUAAAAUAUUAAAUUAAAAAUCAUAUUUUUAACCAAUGAUAACUGAACACAUUAUUUAUGCAUUUGUAAAAUUGAAAUCAAUAUGGAAUCAACUGCUUGUCUUAUUUGUUACUUUUUAUUCUGUUCAUGGAAAUUUUGGUUUCUUAUGAAAAAAUUGCUACUUUAUCUAGCUUAAUACAAGUGGAAAUAUAAAAUGCGGAAAAAGAUUCUUAAAUAAUGAGGACAAUAAAUUUUUUCAAUUUUUGACCCUUUUUCCAACAUAUUUAUAUGGUACAUGUACUGUAAUAUUCCUAAACUAAAAGACAGAACAUUAAGGAUAAUAAGAUUGACAGAAAAUAGUGUGAGUUAAGGCAUGACUGUUAAUUAAUUUAUGAGUGCAAUUUUAAAACAAUAUGAAUUAUUAGACAUAUUAUGAGUCUUACUAAAAAAAAUGUAAAGGAUCAUCUCAAAUUUUCAGCAAGUUUUUCUAUAAUUCCUUUGACCUUUGUCCAUGUCAGUUAAUUUGUCUUAAUGUAAUAUAAACUGGAUUCACUAGGUAUAAUGAUAAUAGCUAGGUGCAAGUACACUUAAUGAAUUAAUCUGGAUUGAUUGGAGGGAGAAUGUUUAUACUACUGUAGCUUGGCACUAAUUUUUCCUGUAUGUCCCCAGGGGACAAAUAAAUGUGAGGCGACUAGAAGGGAAAUUAUUUUGUUUCCUGUAUAAAUAUGAUAUAUAAUGUAAAGCUGUACAUAUUAUCUUCUCUGAGACAAUUAUAUUACUUAAAAGCAUGAUUCAUAAAUAUGUAUUAAAACUGUCUGUUCCAAUAAAAAAUAAAUUUAUUCAUCAUUGUGUUGUAUGAAUAUAAAGUCAUUUGUCUCCUAUGGCAGAUCUCAUCAUAUAAACUACUUUAUAAAAUUUUCUGUUUAACUUUUAGCAUUGGAAGUCAUUCAUACGAACUGUGUAAAUUUUGUUUUUAAAGAUAUCAGGGCUUUUGAAAAAGCAACAUUUUUCUAUUAAAGACAUAAAGUUCUUAAGAAAUUGCCAUUUUAUUGUAAAUUGAUUGGCUUAUUAAAUAGCUGACUUUUCUAAAGAAUGCACAGAUAUUGUGAUAGAAAAUUUUAUACAAAUCACUUUGUGUCUUUGAAAAGGAAACAUCCAUACAAACAAAAAUAUACAUUUGAAAAAGUCAUAUAAAUUCUUGACAAAUUACUUGCCAUACAUAUAUAAAAUGAUCUUGGCUAAUUUAUGCUGACAUUUAUAUGUACUUCUAGGUUUUAAUAUUCCAUUGAGAAAAGUUUGUAAUUGAAUAUUUUAACACAGUAGAUAAAGGAUUUUAGUUUAUAGAAUUUGUUUCCCACCAAACUUGGUUUGUUCAAUGAAUGCAUAAAACUCAUGAUGUUAAAUUUAAUAGUUACAUGGGAAAAAAAUAACUAAAUGUGUAGCAAUAAACAUGCUUAACUGUAUGAUAAAUUAUAAUACAUGGUGGUAGUGAGUCGCAUAUCACAUAAGAACAUUUGCUUCUUCCCAAAGGGUUUUCAGGGGGGGGGGGGGGGAUGAUAGAAUUUAGCUAGCUGACCGCUCUUGUCAUCUAAAAGCAAAAUGAAAUAAUAUUUAAUUUAGUAUGGACUAAAGUACUUAAUUUAAGAUACCAAAUAACUUGGUAAGACAUGCAUUGAAUAAAAACAGUACUGAUGUACUUUAACUGAAUUCUGAGUCCUUAUAAAAUAUAAAAAUGAGUUAGAACUAGAUUAAACAAGUUUGGUACCUAAGAAAGUGAACCCCCCUUUAAGUACCCUUGCCACUGUAUCUAAUAAAAUAUUGGUCAAGUGUUUACAUAUCAUUGUUAAGAUAUAGGUCAUGAAAGCUAUCAGUGAUCAUAGGACUAUAGAGAAACAUUGAACAUCAUUUUUACAUCACAAAUCAAUACAUAAUCCUUUUAUUCUAUCAUCAGUAUUGACUUACUGCUUUUUAUGGAAAAUUGACCAAAAAAAGGAUGAGUUUUCCCUGAUGACACAAUUUUUUGUGUGAGGCAAAUAUUUUAGUGUAACCUGAUCCCUGUUUCAUUAUAGUGAACUGGAACCAGAGAUUGACACCAAUGGACUCUAAGCUUGAUUGGUCUGAAGGAAGAAUUAAGGUGAAGGAAAAUGAACUUGACUUGGUAUCAGCCACCAUAAUCAAGUGUUUCCUGUGUUUGAGAAGGGGUGUUACAGAAUGGCUGUCCAAGGUAUGGAAAAAUUUUAAUCUACAAUUGUGUGUUAAUGUCUCACUCAGACAGAUGUAUGAUAGGAGGGGGCAGGUGUUAGACAAGCCUCCAAACAAUAGGGAGAGUUAUACAUAUAAUUCUAGCAUCAUCAGGACUCACUUGACUUUUAUUCUCAGGUAAAAUAUACACUGUUAUGUAUAUGUAAAAUAUGUAUACUGUUCUGAGUCAAAUAUCUUUUUGAAUUAAGAGGAGUUUUUAGGCAAAUUUUUGUUGUUAUAUUUGUUUGCCUUCUUGGGUUUGGGUUAACAAUAUUAAUCUGACAUUUAGAUUUUGUGUUGAGUGAUUUUCAAACAUAAACCUUGUUUGCCUAAAUUGUAUUUUGCCUAUUUUCUUUUUUUUUAAUAAAUGAUAAAUUGAAAAAAAAUUAUCAGAAAUAUGACAGAUCAAAUUUUGUAGUUGAUGACUGAUGCAGCUUAUAAUUGCUGUUUGUAUUAACAUAUUCUUAUAUUUAGUCUUUGUAUGGAAGUAAAGUUUGAUCCAAGAAAGUUCAUAAUCUUACUAAAACUCAGUUUGUAGGUUAAAUAAAUUCAUAAUCACAUGACUGAAUUGACCUUGACUUUAACAAUUGUCAUACCUAAAACCCUUACUUCAACUUUGUCUGAGAAAUCUCUGAAAAGGCAAAUUAUGCAGCCAUAAAUUAAAUUUUUUGUUUUGAAAAAAAAUAAAAUCGUAAAAUCAUAAAAAUCUGGUUGUGACAAUUCUCAACUGCAAUUGCAUUUGUUCAAGUAGUAUUUAAAUUGUGGUGACAGUUUUAAGGACAUCUAAAUAUAGUAUAUUAUAAUAUGAUAAACAGGAUGGGUUUUUGUGAAUGAUAGCCGAUUUCAUUGAUAAGUGAUUUCCUUCCUAUAAACUCCUACAAUUAUGUAUUACUCAUGAUUAUAAUGAUCAGUAAUUGACCUUCCAUAAAUUUCUCAUAUAAUUUGCUUUAUUCAUACAUGUUAACAUUGUAUGUGAAUGUCAACGAGUCUUAGUCUAUUUUAUCUUGUUAAUUAUAGAUUUAUUACUUUUUCAUAUUUAUAGUCUUUUAACCUUUAGGUUGUCAUACUUUCCUAAACAUUUGACAGUUCAAAUCCCCUUGUAAACUGUUGAACAUAACAUACAGUAUCACAGGAACUAUAGAACUGAUAUCUACUUAAGAGUUACUUCUCUUACUAUUUAAAUGCAUGGUCACUAUUCAUAUUAUCUUGUAGGAAUUAAUUAAAAUAAAUAAAUGAAUGUGAAAGUAAGAUUUAAUGAUGGCUGGAGGGUGCAUAUUUACAUGAGCAUAAAACACUGCAAACAUUAAAUUGUAAAAUGAAAAUUGAAAAAUUGAAAAUAACUAGUUGUGCAGUAAUUUAACAUCAUUAGAUUUUAAAAAAACCCUUUCAAAAAACAAGUGUUUAUGAGAAUUAAAAUUAUUAACUGUAUUCUCAAUUAAAUUUCAGAAUUUUAAAGACAAGUAAAUAUAUUUGAUUUUAAGUUGCAAGGAAUCGUCAGGAAGGGAGAUAACUCACAAAAGGAUAACACAUAUUGUAUGUAUCUGAUUACAUUGAUAAAAAAAACCAAACGUAAUAAUGACCUAUAUUUAAUGAAACAUUAUCAUUUUGAAAAAAAGAAGAAACCUGAAGGAGAAAAAGAUAAAAACUGUCAUAUAUUUUAGCUGUAAAUUUCCAUUCAAAUGUUGUACUUAUGAAAUAGUCUGUAAGAGUACAGUGACGAUUUUUUUUUUCUACUUACAGUGUAUGAACUAUUUCCUAUACAAAAUAAUAAUUUUUUUCUCCACUUAGUUUAUGCACCAUUUCCUACAAAAAAAAACAACCAAAAUAGAGUUGCAUAAGGAAAGUGUGUCAAAGAGUGUGUUUUUUUUUUGCUGGUCUUUUGAUCAUUAGAAAGGCCAUUAAGACUGGAUGUCUCUGUAAUUUGACAGUGAAAUUUGUCUUACAAUAGUUAUAAGUAGUAAUUUCCUGCAGCCAAAGGUGAACGCAUUGAGUGUAGAUUUUAUAUAGUGCAAGCAAAAGUCAUUUGCAUGUAUUAAACUUGCAUUAUACACAUGUAAUCACCUCAUGUCUUCAGUUGAAUUAUUUGUAAAUAAGAAACUUGAUUUUCUCCCAUGAAAAGAUAGUAUAAACAUUUAAUCAAUGUGAACAUGAAUUCUAUGCAUGACCUGAAGGCUAAAAUAAAAUUUGACCUAGUAGCCUUUAUCUGUUGAUGGACUUGACAAACAGCCAAAAAAUGAUGGAGGGCGAUCUUUUAGAAAUUACAAAAAUUAAGAAAAAGAAAAAAAAAAGUUUUAUUUUCUGUAAAAAAAUAUAAGACGUUUUCUGAAAGUAAAAUUUUUCCUCCCUCACAAAGUACUUGACCUAGAUUUCAUCCUAUAGCUGUCAUAGUGAGCCUGUUCAUUGAUUUACUAUGUUGAGAAUUCCUUUCUAUUAAUAGAACAGCUUGAGUUGUGUCUGUUACAGAGGAAAUCCUCACCCUGGGAGAUCUAACCCACAAGUAAGAUAAUACUACUGUUUUUAUGAAUGAAUUGCUGUAUUUUGUACUUUAUCUUUUUUUCAUUGAUAAAAGAAUCAUUCAAGUUUUAGACCGAAAAUCGAUUUGUUUGUGACUGAAGAUGAACGUAUCUUGUGUAAACCGAACUUGAAUAUUUUAUUUGAGAACUUGCGAUCUUUUAAUAUUUGAUCUUUUAAUAUUUUUAUCAUACCAUAAUUGUAAAGUAAAUAUUUGCGAUUCAAUUUAAAUAUUGGAAUUUUGACUAUUACCUAUUCAAUAUAUUAAUAUUGGUUAAUGUGCAGUACAAGGUAAGAAACAUACUUUAAUACAUUUAUAAUCCAUAAACUUUCAUGUAAUAGAAAUGAAUUAACAGAGAUGAAAAUGGAGGUUGCAACCCAGCAACACAACAGAAUCAGAAUAAAUAUCUAGAGGGUAACAUAUGGUUUUCAACAAUACACAAGUAUUUACCAUAUGCUAAGCUUCAGCAUCGUCCUGGGUGAAGAGUCUAGACAAUUUUUAAUAAAAUGGAUAGAGACUACCAAAUUUCAUUCAUUAACACAAGUUGGUAUUACAUUUUAGAAGAACAUGUUAUUUUAUUUUUUUAAUGUUUAACAUUUAAUUUUAUAUUUUCAAUUUGAAUUAUUUGCUGCUGAAAAAGACAAGGAAAGAGGCAAUUUGUACAUCCAAGCAUAUCUCACAUUUGUCAUGUUUGAUUUACUAAAUUUGCUAAUUUUUUACACAAUGUAAGGGUUGAGGAAAUUUUUUUUUUUUAAUCUCUUUUUAAAGAAUUUUAAACUUGGCACUUCAGAGAUUUUUUUUGCUUAUCCUGAAAAUUAUAGAUUGCCCUUUUAAACUGAACUAUAACUAAAUUUGAUGUUAACAUGGUACCACGAAAAGGACAGUUUUAUGGUUGCUUGGGAAAAGAUAUGUAAUGUUUUUUAGUAUCAAAACCACAAAAUAUUUCUGACUGAAUAUUUUUGAUCCUUUAUUGCUAAGCAUAGUAUAUAAAAAAUAUUUUUGAUAAAUGACUUUAAUAAAUUGCCCAAAAAAAUAAGUUAACCCAUUCAUGUUUAGUUGUAUCUUCUGGCUACUGUAUUUGUCACUGAAUUUUCAUAAAAUUUUAUCAUCUAAAAGAGGGAUUGGUUAGAACAAUAUAAGAAUAAUGGUUAUGUCAACAGGAAUAUGAACCAGUUAUACGCUCUGUCUGGCCUUCAUAUGUACCAACUGUUACGAGGGGAAUUGUUGGAUUAAUUCUACUUGAUAUUUCUAUAAGAAAAAAAAAAAUCCAACUAUUAAGUGUUAUUUUCAAAAAAUAAAUUUAAGGUCAACCGACUAGAAGAUUAAGCUUGGUCAUCAGCACUUAUUAUUUGUACCACCAAUGUUUGUAAUAACAACUGUCUGUCCGUCAAUCGUGAUUUUUAUACAAACUUAUUCUGCAAAUCUGUGAAACCAGAACAUAGAUUUCUAAAAGUUGGUCUCUCUCACCCUUAGGGUAUAUAGAGUAUGUAUGUAGUUUUAGAAAAACGGCUGCCAUUUAUUUAAAUAGGUCGUAAGGUUUAUCUAUGGGAAUGUCAAAGGCGUUAAAUCAUUCUAAAUGUUAAUUUUCAAUGGUUAUUCUAAUACAUAAAAAUUUAAGUGUGGCAGAGGCAUAAUUGGUUGCAGCUAAAAUUAACCUGUUAGGAGAAUCAUAUCAUUGGCUUUAUACUAGCCAUAGGAAUGAUAGGACCUAAAAAGAUUCAUGAAAAAACAUGUGUUCUAUAAAUGCAGAAAUUAUUGAGAAUUUUGACGAAUGGUCUAAAAUGCUAGAUUAGUUAUUGCGAUUUCAGUAAAAUCUGUAUACAGUUAUAUGUAUCAGAUGUAAUCAGAAUGCAAGUUUUUAUUAUUUCAAUACUUUUUCAUUAUUUGACUAUUAAAUACCUGGCAAUAAUUUUUGAAUUUACAGUGCUCCUUUACUGUCAGCAGCCUAGUAGAUAUGGAACUGGCAUUUAUUGUAUACUUCUUAAAUGUCAGUAGUUACACAUUAGAUAAUUGUAUAAUGAGUAGUUACACAUAAGAUCUGGGUGUAAUUAUGAUUCAAUGAAUAUUGUCCUAAAGUAACCUAAUGAACUUUUAAAAUUGAUGUAGAAAUGAAUGUUCAUCUUUUGGGGCGCAUUGACCUGCUUUUCAGGUGCCAAAUGAUCAGUACAUGUAUAGCCCUACUUGAGUCAAGUACCAGAUUAUUCCAAGAAUACUUAUUUUCUACUUUGAUAUUCAGAGUUCUGCAUCUUGAUAAAUGUACUAUAGACUAAAUUAGUAUAAAGUAUAUUUAUAAUAAUUUCUUAAUUAUAAGUUUUCCAAGUGGUGUAAUUAGAAUAUAGGCUACAAUUGAGUCUUAAGAAACUGUUGAGUAAUUCAUUGCGUUUUUAUAAUCUAAGACUUGUUCUUGAAUUAAUUAGAUAACUAAUACCCAUGAAAAAUAACAUUUUUUAUGUUCACAAAGGCGUAAAAAGUGUUUGGUAACUCAUAUAAAUAUUAUAUUAUGACGCCUACUGGAAUAAAAUCAUCAUUCAUAGUAGGUAUAGAAAAUAAAUCUAUAAUUUUCUACUACCUUUAAUGACUAAGCAAAUAUAUGUACAAGUUAUAAUGGAGAAAUUAUAUCAUUUUACUUAAAUAUGUCAUCUAACAAAAUUUCAAUAGUGAUAUCUGAUGUUAAUAAUAGAUAAAACUAUGUCAUGUCAUCCAUUAGAUUGUACCUUAUAAUGAUUGAGUCUUUCUACAUGUAAAUGUUUGAAUUCAAAAUCAGGUGAUACCUAUGGAAGAUGUCUUUCAGUUUUGUCCCAAUACCAAAUUAAUUUACUAAGCUGUCCUAUUUGUUUGUAUAUUGUUCAUGUUGGUUAUCUUAGUUUCUAAAGUACAUGUAUGCUUUGACUAUAAUGAAUUUGGUAUUGUCUGAAGAUUUCCUUGCAUCCUAUUCAUAUGAGCUCUUUAUCUUUUCUUGGUAUCUGCUGCUGUUCCAUGCAUUAUGAGCACCUUGAUUCUCAGAUAUGCUGAAGUGAAUGGGACAAGUAGAUAUGUAUCCCAAUCCUUGGACUUUGUUGACAGGUCCACUAUAAAACCAAAUUUAAAUAAGAAUUACUCCUCAUACUAUAAGCAAUCACAAUUUUUGUAGUAGAUUUGAUGUUGUUAAAGAAAUAAUUCCACUUCAAGAGGUAGAUUGACAUGAAAGUUGGUUUUGAGAUACUGACUGAUUGUUGUUACUCUGGUUCUGAUUAGCUAAAAAAAAAAAAGGUGCACAGGCCUUUUUUUUUAACCCUUUCACCGUAGGUCUAGUUGUCUACUUCUGUCUGUCUGUUUUCAAAAAUUUGUUGCACAUUUACUCUGUCAGUAACUUCAAAUCAGUUACUUGAAAUAUGUUAUCAUGCUUCUUGUGAGCAUGUUAUAUUAUAUAAAGCUUUUUCACAUCUAUCUCUCGUCAACUUCAUGUUAAAUGAAUACUCUUGCCUUUUUACAAAUGUCCAUAUAUGAAAUUUUUCUCUACAUUUCCUGAGGAUAUACAAACUAGUUCUUCCUUAAAUUUUAUAUCAUGAUCUUCAUGUUAGUAUGCUUUUCUCAAGAACUACAAUUCAACCUUUCUGAAUUUGGUAUCACGCUUCAUCUAAGCAUGCUAAAGUGUAAGAUGCUUUUUCACAUCCUUUGAUGAUGAACUUCCUGUUAAAAAGAAUUUUUACCUGUAGAUAUUUUUACACAUGGGUCAUGCAUGCAUUUUAGUCACUUUUUUGUCAGGAAAUGCACAUCAUGCAUGAGCUUCCUGAUAUGAGGAAUCAAACUUCAUUUGAUACAGAGUGAUGUGUUUUCAAGUGAAAUGCUCAUCAACUUCCUGUUUUCUGAAUACUUAUAGCAGUGAGUAACUUGAGUAAGCAGUAGCUCAUAAUACAUCUUGUUUACCCAAUCAGAUUUGUUAGGAAAGAAUAAAUAUCCAAUCAUAAGAACUGUGCAAAAAGGUUCCUCAGGAUGUACUUAAUAAGUAAUUUUACACGUUUAUCACCUGACCAAUAUGAACAUUUCAUUGGAUAAAUAGGGCAAGAAAUAUUUGUAUUUAAUAAAAAGAAGCAAUAAUUAUUAGUUACCAUUAACCAGGAUUGAUUUUAUAGAUGUAAUUUUUGAAUAUAGUGCUAUGUAAGAAAUGUAAGAUAAACUAUUUAUAACCUUCUUUAUCAAGUUCUAGAUAAGUUUAUGGUUCUUGAAAGAUUUUGCACAACUGAACCAUUCAAUCUAAGCUUUUCAAAUUUUAAUAUGUUGAUACUGAUGACAAAAUGGAGGUCAAAUUUGAUAUUGACCUUUUUCACUUUCACCAUUCAUCAGUAAUGGUUCUUGCGAUAUUGCCAGGACACAAAUAAAUAUUAAUAAAUCCGGUUUGCUGUCGUUGUGACAGCCUCUUGUUGUGUUAUAGACUAUAUUUAUCAAAAUGUUUUGAAAUGUUAUUGUGGCAUACCAAAUUUGACUUGUAUCAAAUGAUAAAUUGCCAUGAGCAACACGACAGAGGCCACUAUUGUAGCAGGAACUGAUCACUCUCCUGGAGCACCUGUUGUCAUCACGAUGCAUGGAGGAGUUUAUAUUGCUCCUUCUCUUUAGUUUGUGAUUGUUGUUUGUAUUUUGGCCAUGCUGACGAUGCUGUUGCCAUUUUUUUCUUUGACUUGUGGUUUUGAUUGGCUCCUUGGUGUUGUCUCCCCUUUUAAAACAUUUAAGUAAAAUAUCAUACAUGUUCUUGAUGUUGGAGGGGAAGUAAUAUAACACAAUAAAUAUCAUAUAGAUGUUGUCCAGUAUUUUAAACAAAGUAAGCAGUACUAAGAUUUGGCAAACUAUCAGUCAUUUGGAGAAAAUUGAAAUUUAUAAAGCUGCUAACUUGUUUAUCAUAUAUGUUUCAUAUACAGUUUACUCAUGAGAAAGUACAAUAGUUUGGGUGUGAAUGCAUUACGUAUGUCUAAAAACUUUUUGUGUGGGAUAAAUAAUGAUUUAUGUGUACUAUGGUUUACACUUUACAAGUUCGUAUUUUCCUGUACAAAAAAAUCACAAAAUAGAUGUAUAUAAAUUGAAGAAAAGUUUAUUUCAAUUUAAAUGAUUAUUAAAAUUUUCUUCUUCCAGGAAUACAAAAGUUAAACCUAGCUGAACAAUGGCAGUAAGGGUGAUUUGACAACACCUACAAACAGACAGAUAAUCCAAGUGAUAAUGUGGAAUGUUAUUGGUUGGGAAGAAGCCAUGUUGAAGAUUCUUGACAAUCAUAAAAAUCGUAAGUAAAUUAUUUAUUUACCCCUGCUGAUGUUUGAUGGAGAGAAAUACUGCUAUCUAUUUUAAUCCCAGAAGAUAUUGGUAGAUUUAGUACAAGUUGAUGAAAGUAUCUUAAAAUAAUUUUGAUGGCAAAUCCAUGUGAUAACAAAUUGAUUUCCAAACAGGAUGCUAGGAACCUAUUAGAAUUUUAUGAUUUAAGAGAGGUUAUAGAAAGUACAAAAUUGUUAGCAGAUUAGUGUAAAUUUAGAAACAUUUCUACUUCAAUUUUUACAGACUGCUCACAUGAGAAAAUUUAGAAACAUGUUUAUUUAAGAUAUUUUGUUAUAAUAAGAUUUAAGUUGAGUUCAGCAGAUCAAAAUCAAAACUUUAAAAUUAAAGAAGUCAAUGGAAAGAACAAGUAUUAAUUUACAAUUAAAGAGAAUCAUUCUUUUUUGUCUUGAAUGCUUUAUUUUUAUCUGAUGAUGCCAUUUCUAUCAAUCAAGACAUACUUUACAAUAGUACAUAUUGUCAUAAAAUUUCUUGAAAAGUUUGUCAUUCUUAAAGGGACAUUUCCACAAUCAAUGGUCCUUCAAGAACACUUGAAUUAUUAUUAAAAAGUUAUGAAAAUGUAGGAAAAUUUGAAUUUGUCCCAAAAUUUCCUAAUGCCAUGAGUUUAGAAGAAACUGGCUGUAUCAUAAGUGCAAAUCAUUUCUAUGCUAAGCAACCUAUUAAAUGAUAAGGACAUUGGGUUUAGUAUGCAGAUCUUUGUAAAAAAGUUCAUUUAAUAAUCGAGCCUUUGAUUUCAUAUAGUCAAAAAUAUUUUUUUUUGCAUGUACUUUAAAGAUCUGAUGGUUAUGAAGCCAGAAGUUCAAUAUCCUGCCAUAUGACAUUUUUGUACAAUGGGGAGAAACAAAUGUGCUAGGUGUAUAUUAACAAGUUAAGAUCUCCACUUAGAUAAAAUGUUUGCUAUGCUAAUUGGCAUUUUGAAAUCACAGUUCAAUCAUUUGAGAUUAAGACAUAAAUAAUCUUAAGAUGAGACACACCUACACUGUUAAAAUGCUUAGCCAGUUAGUAAUAAGUUCACUAAACCUCAAAUACAUACAUAAAAGUUAACAUAUACCCCAACAUCUUCUUUUAUAUAUACAUAUAAAAGUAAAAUCCAGACAUGAUUCUUUUUUUUAUUAUUUUCGACAUGAGAUUGACUGUAUUUUACAUCUUUUAUCAACAUUAGCCUUUAGCUGACCUUUAUGUGAACCAAGGAUAAGAUGAGGACCUUUUUCUUGUUCAAAUUGAUGUAACAAGUUACUGAAAUAAUCAUUUCUUUAUAUCCUCCCUUGGACAAAGGUCUUUCAGUGACAUUUUUUGGGACAACAUGUCUGAUUUGAUAGGGCCUAUUAAGAGGGAACUAAGAUAAGUCAAUUAUAUUUGGGAGGACAGGAGUAAACUUCCUAAAUGAGAGUGUUGAUGUUGUCCUGUUCAUUUAAUCGGCCAAUUAGAAUCACCAGAUUACAGACAGGGUGAACAAAACCUUAAAGAGAUGAAUAUGGAAUAAUUUUAGUAAAAUUUGAACAUAUGGAGAACAAAACAAAAGUGGUUAUUGAAUUUUGAUUUUAAUGAAAGUGAUAAAAGUGAAGGAAAGCAUAUUCAGUAAUGAGGUAAAGUUAAUUCAAAACCAUAACCAUUUGGGAAUUAAUUAGACCUAAGUUUGUUAUAGAGACACCCACCCCUGUCGAUCUAUAAAUAGAUUAAUUCCCUAUACAUCAAGAGACAAUAAACUCAUACUUUUUAUUUUCGGUAUCAAGAAUCGAUACUAUUUAGAUCCAUUUACAAGUUACUAGGUGGGAAAACAUCAAUAUGGGAAUCAGGGAUGGUUUUAUCACAUCAAAAUUUAUUAUUUUUGUUCUAAAUUUUUUAUAUAAAUUUUUCACAAUUCGUGGAUUUACAAUAAUUGGUCUGGACAAGGAUUUAAAUUGUAUGAAUAAAGGGAUACUUCAUAUUUGUCACCUGGGAAUAACUCUUAAUGAGAUAACUAUGUAAAUUAUUUUCGGACAUUCUGGGAGAUAAUUGUCUUGUAAAUUGUUUGACCCUUAGCCUCUAACACCAGUAGACUAUGUGUGUGGUAACUGCAGUGUCUGGAUCUGAGGCCAAGGCAUACACAAUUCUUUGGUUAUCACACUAUAGAUUAUAACAGUAGACACGCUCUUACUUCAUUACUUUUAAGAUGAAUACUUUGAAAUUUAAUCUUGAUAAUUAUCAUUUAAAAAUAUUUUGAAGGCUUUUUGGCAAUAUUUCAGUAUAUAUGUUCAAAGAAAAUUAUACAUAUUUCAGUUGUUCAAAUAUUUGAUUUAUAAGAGAACUAAGCUCAUAGUACAAGUUAUGUAUUGCCAGUUAUUACUUGUCUUUUAAACAACAAUUAAAAAAGAAGGGAUUUCUUUAGUUUAGUAUGACGUGUGGUUUAUCAUCAUGUCCCAACUUAUGCUGAGAUGUCUAAGCAGUUAUCCAGUUUUUACUGAAUGAAAAUGUGGUAGAAGUCACUGUUUUGAAUUUUGAAUAAAUUUUGAAAGCUCCAAAAGCAGGAAACAAUUUAGAGUUGAUUUCUGUCUAAUCUAACCAUGUAUCUUUGAUAAAUCGACAUUAACUUUUCUACCUUGUUUGGACCUGCAUUCCAUCAAAACUUAGCUCUAGAAUCUUGAAGAGUGAGAUUGUACUGUUUAAGUUUUUUAAAUAUAGCUAAAAAAAAAGUUAAUUUUUACUGCUGGUUGGUUUAUCUGUUCUUUUUCAUAUCUGAACAAAAAGUACUUUUUUGACACUCCACAUUUUUUUGAGGACCAAGAUUUAGUUAGUGCUGUGACAGAAAUUUAUCUAUGAGAACAUUCAAAGCAUUGUUAAGACAAGUGCAGGUUAAUAAUAAUGAUUAUGCAGCUAUAACAAGUAACAAUUACAUUGCAUACAAUAUCUUCUUAUUUGAGUGAAUUUAAAGUGUUGAAAAAGCAUUGAAUUAGAUAAAAUUAUAAAUGCUAAUUUAGAAGUUGAAGUUGUCCCACCACUGGACAACCCAACAAAUUUAAGGAUAUUUUAGAGUUUAGAAUUUCUAAAAGCAAGAAAUCAUGAUCAAAGAAUGUUUACUCAAGCUAAUGUUGAACAUGACAUUUUAAGUUGAAUUAUGGUGGUAUUCACAAAGACAUACUGCAGAGGGCCAUCUUUGUGUGACAUUUAAGACAGAGAUGAAUUAUUUUGAAAGAUUUUGUUUCUGGACAUCUUUGCCCAGACACAAAAGUUUUGUGAUAUAAUUUACAAUGAAUUAUGAAGCAAUCGUCUGCAUAUUACUCAAUUUUCUGCAGUAAAUCAUUGAUUUUGUAAAGAGAUGUUUGCCUUUCCUAGAAAAGAGAAGAUUAGAAUAUGUAAAUUUGUUGUGAGGAUGCCAAGAGAACAUAUGAUUAUUAAUUUGAUAAUGUAUAAGUGUAAAAUGUAGGAGAAUUUGAAAACUUUAUCGGAACAUCAAUAUUGUCUGUUAUUUGUAUCGGAGGAUAAACAUGAUUAUAAUCUUGUUCUUUUUUUAUCCACAAAAAAAAUCGAGAAGAAAUAUUGAUUGUGUUAAUGUUUUUAUACACUGAAAGUGAAUCUGAUCUUUUAUGUUUAUAAAGAAAUUUGAUCGCUUAACAUUUUAUUUCAUCCUUAAGGCAGAGGAAUCAAUGAUAAAAUGUCACAAGUAAAAGUUAUCUGUAAAAGACGAGAAUGUCAUAAGUAAAAAUUAUCUGUAAAGACUGGGAACAUUUCUUGUAUCCAUAUCUUGCUUUGUAGGAAAUGUACUCUAAAUCUGGUUGAAGAUGAACAACAUUUUAUAACUAGUUGUCCAUCAUACAAAAAUGAUAGGGAGAUAUUUUUCAAGGAGAUAAACUGUAUUUGUCCUAAUUUUAUACAUCUUUCAAAUGAGGCAAAAUUUGUUUCGUUAUUUACUAAUGAAAAUUUGUCUGUACUUAAAUAUUUAGAGGAGCUACAUUAUUACAUGUCUAGAUGUUAGACGAAAUCUUAAUUAAUGUAUGUAAUAACAAUGAUAAUUGUAAUGAUUUUAUGGUUCUGAUUCUGCCUGGAAUUAAAGGUAUAUGAUUUUUAUAGCAUGAAUAUAAUAACAUCUGUCUGAACUUUUUUUUAAUGUUUCAUUUUAGUUUAUAAAAAUGUUUUUCUGUUACAAAUCAUGAUGUAUUGUUUAUGUGUACAUGUUAUGUAAACUGGUCCGCCGUUCUAUCUAUAGCUUCGCACCGAAGGAACGGGUUGGAGCUAUUGUCACAUCGCAUUAAUUGGAUGAAUCUUACAAAUUCAAACGAUUCGCUAAUAAAAUUGGCCAAUUAAAGUGAUGAAAUGACCUCAAAUUUUAAUACUGCGAUAUGUAAGCCAUUUAUAAGUUUUAAAAGUGUUUGUCAGAUUAUUAACACUGCAAACUUGAGAAUAACCAGCUUUUAUAAAAACAGUUUUUUUUAGAACUCUAGAAAUUGAUAAUGUCUAGUGAAAGGUAGUUUAGUUCAAUAUCAACUUGACAGUUCACUGGACUAAAUAUUGUAAAUGACUACUGAUAGUCUGGUUAAGUCCCAAAGGGUUCAAUAGCCGCUGAAUUUGUACUUGACUUAAUGUUCGAUGAAAAUCCGACAAAAUCUAGAACAAAAGUCCAGUUGAACAGUCCUUGAUUAAGAAAGAUACAAAAUUGUUUUAUAUGUUUUACUUUGAACUCAAAGUAUUGGAUAUAAUCUUAGUAGAAAAGUUUAAAUCAAUGAACGCUAUCUUUUGUUUAGUACAAGUAGGCUAACAUCUAAGCAGUUUUAUCCUCAGUUCUUUCUUUAUUUCUUUUGAAGGAUGAGUUGAAGAAUUGGAAGUUCAUGUUGCACACACACCUAUACAAAAACAGCUUAUGUCUAUAUUAAGAGCAGUCAGAAGCAGAGAAUAUCUAAAGAUAGCCAAAAGAUGUUCUGAAAACAUCAGACACUUGCAGUAUUAAACCAAUUAAUCAUGGUAGGCCUUUUCUAUAGUUAUAAUGUUAACUAGGCAUAACCUAGAAACCAAAAUCAGCAAUCUCCUAACUCACCAAUUUUAUCCAACAAAAUAUCUGGAAUGAAUUAGAGAAAUUAGCACCCAAGAAAGCUGAAAAUUAAGUGACGAUGUAAGAAGAAUGAAAAAAAUUAUCUUAAGGCACUGACAAAACUUAACUUUCUGAAGGCACUGUCUAUAUAGAACAUUCUAUUUUUUUUGAAAUUUUGAAAAUUUGUUUUUGUAUAAAAAUUGUAUGAGAUUUAAUAACAUGUGUUGUUGCAAUCAUUAACCAUGAGAUCGGACUAUACAAGUAUGCUCAGUUUACACCAUUUAGGACG
rnacentral:lncRNA from 1 species